CAGGGCCUGAGGUCCCAUUUUCCCACUCUCAUAUAGGCAUUGUCUCAUCUUUUUGAAUUGAUGGGGUUGUCUUGGUAGGCCAGAGCAAAUCACGUGAUUAUCAUUGAGAAUGACAUCCAUUCUGAAGAUACCUUUCAGGAUGACUUCAGGACUAGAAAUAGUAUCUGGCUUGUUUCUAGUACAUCUUACCUAAAGUUUCAUGUAUGAAUGGGAGAACGAAAGCCUCAGAUUGUCAACUAACUCUACCAAGUCUUACAAUAGUUCAGUGUUCAUCCAAAAAUCAAAUCCAUAAUUCCAGAUCAUUUCUUCAAUUCCUUCAACUCUUCUUUGAAGCUGAGACCCAGACUCUCGUCUGAUUUUCUAAGCCAGGCAAGACUGAUCAAGAAUCCUACAAGAAGAAAGUUUUCAGAAUCCUGACCUCACUCCAGCAGGUCCAGAACGUUGCUGGUGACAAUGUUCUGGAAGACACCUCAGCAUGAAUCUCUGGAGCCAGCAUCUGGUACCACUGCCAUCUAUGGGGUGAAUACUGCAAUUAAGAGCCUGACCCUCUAUGGUGAAUAAAAAGGUUGUGAAAUUAUAUG
rnacentral:lncRNA from 1 species